rnacentral:tRNA from 1 species
UUUUUUUAGCUCAGCGGCUAGAGUUUAGGUCUUGUGACCGGGAGGUCCCGGGAUCGAAUCCCGCCAGAGGCGAAAA